CCUGAGUGUAUUCAGUCUGUGUGCUCCUCUUGUCUCUUUGUCAGAUUGUCUUCAUCACUCUUUGUCAAGCGUUCCAGCCUUUUUCCUAGUGUUGUUCUUCCAGUGUACUCAGCCAGUGUACUUUUGACUCUUCUCAGUGCUUUUUGGACUUUGGACUUUUUUCCUGGACCUUGCCUGUUUUCUGGAUUUUGAUUCUUGCCUGCUCCGUCAGAUUUGUUUGCCUUUCUUUGGACUGCUUCGCUGGUUUUGAUCUCUGCCUGCCUCACCACACUGGCCGGAGUCGCCAUUUUCACCACCAGCAGCUUCAUUAGCCCAGCCUGAGCCACCGAAAGAAUAAGCAAUUAUGUGGAACACAGUGUCUCCUACUUCACUGAAAAGUCAAUUUUCAGUAUGAGUGCGACGUGGAAACUUGAAGGCUCCAGUGCACAGUGUGAAUUGCAGAUUUAAUGAACACAAAGUUGAAGUGGAUCGAUGGGAACCAAAGUACUUUUUAAUCGUCCUGACCAUCCAAUCCAAACUGCCCCAAAUCUCCCUCACCCAUCUCCCUGCUGCUCCGCCUGAUCAGGCCUGACAACAGCAUUCACUAUUCAUUAGGAGAAGUUAGCGGGGAACCUGGACCACUGUAAGCCUCGGGCACAGGUGGGGAUGGAAAGGACAUGCAGGACUUCAACAAGCAACAGCCAGGACACACACAAGUUCAGGACGUUUCAAUGAGAGGAAUGCUCUCCUUUUCAGAUAUGCUCUGUUCACGCUCACGUUCAUGCCUUGCUCAAGGGCAACUCAGUAGUGGUAAUGAGGGAGAGUCAGUACUGCUUUCUGGAUGUAAAAUAGAGUUUGAGAGAGGAGUUCAAUACCUGCUUCCUUUCACACACCUGGGCAGCCACUGCAUGAAGUGGGUGUUCUUGUUGGAUUGUUGAUUGCGGAAAGUUAAAAACUGUCAGAUGCAUGUCUGUACUUUAACAUAAGUAGAUUUAGAAUGCUGCAUUUAAACCUGUGUGUGUGUUUGUGUUUUUAAAUAUUGCAGUAUUGCUUAUUUACACCAAUAAAUGCUGUCAGUACUUCUCUUCCUCACUCGUUAAACUGGUAGCACUUUGCUUGUUUCUGACGGAACAUCAGCUGAUAGAAGUAAGAAUGUAGGCUUACGGCAAAAUUGUAUAAAGACUUCAGAGAACAAUGAAACAAAGAUCUCACUCUGUUCAACAGCAAAUCACGUGUCACAAAUGUAUGUUA